rnacentral:tRNA from 1 species
GCCCCCGUCGUCUAGCCAGGUCUAGGAUACGGGGUUUUCGUCCCCGAGACCCGGGUUCGAAUCCCGGCGGGGGCA